GGCGACGAGGGGGAUUCUGCAGCUUUGACGGCUGCAUCUCCCAGACAAAACCUAUUGGAAGAUGUUCAUCAGUCAGUCUGUGCUGCAAAAGUCGCUGGGUUUGAGACCCUGAAAUUCCCAAGCAGGACAUGGCCCUCGCUUCUGCCUGCUGGACCCAUCUGCUGAUGACCCCAUCUGCUGAUGUCCCCUGCUCUCCAUGCCUGUGCUAUGCCCAGCUGGUCUGACAGCAGCAGUGGCAGCUGCUCCUGCUGGGUGCUGCUGGGCUGGAGCCCUGUGGUGCCAGCCCCGGUGUCUUUGGGGCAGGGGCUGCUUUUCCCGGCUUGAAUAAAGACGAGCACUUUGGCAUUGCA